rnacentral:rRNA from 1 species
GACGAACGCUGGCUGCCUGCUUAACUCAUGCUAGUCAAACGGAAAGGCCCUGAUUGCAUGGUACUCAAGUGGCGAACCGGUGACUAACACGUGUGUGAUCUGCCUUGCACUUCUGGAUAAGCCUGGGAAACUGGCUCUAAUACCAGAUAUGACCAUGCUUUAUUGUGUGUGGCGGAAAGUUUUUCAGUGCUUGAUGACCCCGCCGCCUAUCUCCUUGUUGGCGGGGUAAUGGUCUACCAAGGCCACAACCGAUAUCCUGCCUGAUAGGGUGUACGGCCGCAUUGGGACUGAGACUCAGCCCAGACUCCUACGGCAGGCACUGAUGAGGAAUAUUGCACAAUGGGCUCUAGACUGAUGCAGCGACGCCGCGUGCGGGAUAAAGGCCUUCGGGUUGUAAACUCCUUUCGGUACGUAACAAUCCACUCUGUGGUGACCGUAUCUGUCAUAAGAAUGAGCGGCUAACUACUUGUCCACAUCCACUGUAAUACUUAGGACGCUAUCGUUGUCCGGAACUACUGGUCGUAUAGAUCUCGUACGUGGUUUGUCGCGGCCUCUGUGAAAUUCCGAGGCUUAUCUUCCGGCGUGCAGGCGAUACGGGCAUAACUAGAGUGCUGUAGGCGAGACUGGUAUUCCUGAUGUAGCGGUGAAAUGCGCAGAUAUCAGGAGAUACACCGAUGGCGAAGGCAGGUCUCUGGACAGCUACUGACGUGUAGGAGCGAAAGCAUGGGUAGCGAACAGGAUUAGAUACCAUGGUAGUCCAUGCGGUAAACGGUGGGCGCUAGUUGUGGGGGUUUUAUUUACGAUUCCCGUGCCCUAACUCACUCAUUAAGCGCCCCGCCUGGGGAGUACGGCCGCAAGGCUAAAACUCAAAGGAAUUGACGGCCGCCCGCACAAGCGGCGGAGCAUGUGGAUUAAUUCCAUGCAACGUGAAGAACCUUACUUGGGCUUGACAUACACCUUAUCGUUGCAGAGAUGUAGUUUCCCUUGUGCCUGAUGUACAGGUGGUGCAUGUGUGUCCUCCUCUCGUGUCGUGAUAUGUUGGGUUAAGUCCCGCAACGAGCGCAACCCUUGUCUUGUGUUGCCAGCACCUUAUGUUGGGGACUCGCGAGAGACUGCCGGGGUUAACUAGGAGGAAGGUGGGGAGGACGUCAAAUCAUCAUGCCCCUGAUGUUCAGGGCUUCACACAUGUUACAAUGGUCGGUACAGAGGGUUCCUAUGCCGAGAGGUGGAGCUAAUCCAUUAAAGCCGGUUUCACUUAGGACUGGAGUCUGCAACUAGAAUCCAUGAAGUAGGAGUUGAUAGUAAUCGCAGAUCAGCAAUGAAUGCGGUGAAUAAGUUCCCGGUCUG